CCCGCGGUAGCUCAGCCUGGUAGAGCUUCCGACUCCAAACCGGAGUGUCGCAGGUUCAAAUCCUGCCCGCGGGACCA
rnacentral:tRNA from 1 species